rnacentral:rRNA from 1 species
AUUGAACGCUGGCGGCAGGCCUAACACAUGCAAGUCGAGCGGAUGAAGGGAGCUUGCUCCUGGAUUCAGCGGCGGACGGGUGAGUAAUGCCUAGGAAUCUGCCUGGUAGUGGGGGAUAACGUCCGGAAACGGGCGCUAAUACCGCAUACGUCCUGAGGGAGAAAGUGGGGGAUCUUCGGACCUCACGCUAUCAGAUGAGCCUAGGUCGGAUUAGCUAGUUGGUGGGGUAAAGGCCUACCAAGGCGACGAUCUGUAACUGGUCUGAGAGGAUGAUCAGUCACACUGGAACUGAGACACGGUCCAGACUCCUACGGGAGGCAGCAGUGGGGAAUAUUGGACAAUGGGCGAAAGCCUGAUCCAGCCAUGCCGCGUGUGUGAAGAAGGUCUUCGGAUUGUAAAGCACUUUAAGUUGGGAGGAAGGGCAGUAAGUUAAUACCGUGCUGUUUUGACGUUACCAACAGAAUAAGCACCGGCUAACUUCGUG